AUGCAAAUAUCACUUGAUGUGCACAUACAGACUCCUACAACUAUGACCACUUCUCAAAGCAGAAGUUAUGGUGGUUGGAGUAACCAUUUAAACUCAUGAAUUGAAAGUCACCACUUCAUUGCCACAAAAGCACGGUCAAUCCACAUGUUGCCUAAUAAGAAUAUAAAUGAGCUAUUCUAAGGAAUAAUCCAUUACUUCAUGUUCCGUAAAACUCUUAUAUUCCACAUAUGGAUUAAAAUAAU